GACUAAUGGGAUAACAACUUACGAAACUACUAAUUAAUAAACAGUAACUUGUAGCAUAUCAAUAAUUAAGGGUGUGCAACAUCCAUGUGUACCAUAAGUAUAAAAAUUUAUACACAUUUAAUAAUCAUUCAUCAUUUAUUUAUAUUAUUAUUUUGCACGAGUCAAUGAAGUCUUGCAGCCGAAAAUUACCACCUGCGUGACUAAUGAUGAUUAAUAGGGUUACAAAAACAUCCAGUUUCCACACUCCACCAUCUGAAUCAAACUAAAACCUCAUAGUACUGGGACCCCAACAAUCCAAUUCCAUAACUUUCCUCAUAGAUUGUUCCUUGGUUCUCUUGACCUUGUUGGAAACAGCAGAAGACAAUUUCUUGAACUGUGCAUAAGAUCUUAUGUUGUUCUUUGCAUGUUGAUGGAGUGACCUGAAAGCAUAGUUCCACCUGCAAACACCUAAUUGGUCUUUCAAGGCUUCAACUGCUCCUAUGCUUGAUGCUACAAUCCAAGCUUUGCUGGAUGCCACUGUCCAAGCUUGGCUGGUUGAACCCAUCUUGAUGUUGUGAUCAAAAUUCACCAAUGAUAUUUGUUUGAUAAUUGAUAUGUAUGUGUUUGUACAUUCCUUUAUUUAUAGAGAAAAAA
rnacentral:lncRNA from 1 species